rnacentral:rRNA from 1 species
CAGGGAAUAUUGCGCAAUGGGCGAAAGCCUGACGCAGCGACGCCGCGUGAGGGAUGAAGGCCUUCGGGUUGUAAACCUCUUUCAGUGGAGAAGAAGCGAAAGUGACGGUAUCCACAGAAGAAGCCCCGGCCAACUACGUGCCAGCAGCCGCGGUAAUACGUAGGGGGCAAGCGUUGUCCGGAUUUAUUGGGCGUAAAGGGCUCGUAGGCGGCUUAGCAAGUCGGUCGUGAAAUACCGGGGCUCAACCCCGGGAUGCCGAUCGAAACUGCUAUGGCUUGGGUCCGGUAGAGGAGAAUGGAAUUCCCGGUGUAGCGGUGAAAUGCGCAGAUAUCGGGAGGAACACCAACAGCGAAGGCAGUUCUCUGGGCCGGUACCGACGCUGAGGAGCGAAAGCGUGGGGAGCAAACAGGAUUAGAUACCCUGGUAGUCCACGCCGUAAACGUUGGGCACUAGGUGUGGCGGACUCAUCAACGUCUGCCGUACCGUAGCUAACGCAUUAAGUGCCCCGCCUGGGGAGUACGGUCGCAAGGCUA